CCCGCCCACUCCGCCUAUCGAGCAGCACGGAGCCCCAGCGGGACACGCCCGCUACCCGCGCAGAGCCGCCCCUCGACUAGCCAAGCAUGGCCGAGAGGCCGGCGCGAGCUGGGUUCCGCACGGACGGGAGGGGGGGAAGCGCCGAGGCGCUGACGUCAGCAGAGACUUAUUUAAUCAUCUUUGAUGUCAUUAUUGACGUUCCCAGCGACCGGAAUUGAGACUCCCACGUGAGCCGCUCCUGCCGUCCGCCCGUGCAGCGAGCGCUGUGACCCCUGCGCGGAGCCAUGUGCGGGGUACGUUUGUAUAGCAGCUGGCGGGGUGCUUCCCAUUCCAGGGAGACAAACAAGUGUAAUCUUUGCUGAGCUACUAUGCUAGCUGCUGCACACAAUCCUAUCUAACCUCCUGGGAAUUAUCUGACACACAGCUGGGUCAUCACUGGGAAUUGCAGAAGUGUUUUUUGAGAUAUCUGAGAAGCAGUUGGAAGAACAAGAAUUGGGUUGUCUUCUCUGGUUUACUCUGAAGUCUUACUCUACUGGAGGAUGCAUGGAAUGAGAGAUUUCUCUGCUCUUACCUGAAGGCAUUUGAAUUCUGCUGAUGUUGAUGUCCUGAAAAGGCAUGAGAUAUCACCAAGCAAUAUUAACAGAGCCUUAAAGACUUGUGUCAGCAUAUUUCCAAUGUAUUUAUUUUGGAAUACCAAACUGGAUGGGACGUGACUUAAAUGCAUCAGACUUCUGCUAUUUUUUUUUAAAAAGUCUGCAGCUCAUUAGCAUCACAUAUGCCUGGCAAAGAUUUACGAAUGGGAUUUCGUCUGACUGUUAGUUGGAAUGCAAAUGGAGCAAGACCUAAGGAUCCAAAAGAAAAUAUACAGCUGUAAUAAAUUAAAUUGUAUUCAAGUGAUUCCAGAACCAAUUCCAGGGACUGUCAUUCACUGUUCAAGAAAGAAAUAAAAUAUUCAUACUUCAGACUCAGAAUUGCAAAAUGUUCUUUUCCUGUUGCAAUGAGUCUCCCCACAAAAUUAUCUAA